rnacentral:rRNA from 1 species
UACGAAGGGUGCAAGCGUUACUCGGAAUUACUGGGCGUAAAGCGUGCGUAGGUGGUUCGUUAAGUCUGUCGUGAAAGCCCCGGGCUCAACCUGGGAAUGGCGAUGGAUACUGGCGGGCUAGAGUGCGGUAGAGGAGAGUGGAAUUCCCGGUGUAGCAGUGAAAUGCGUAGAGAUCGGGAGGAACAUCAGUUGCGAAGGCGGCUAUCUGGACGGUUUCUGACGCUAAGACGCGAAAGCGUGGGGAGCAAACAGG